GAUUAGUAUAGGGAGUAUAGAGAGUAACAAUGUGGAUUAGUAUAAUGAGUAUAGGGGAGUGUAUCGUAUUAUAGGUUAGUAUAGGGAGUAAUCAUGUAGACUAGUAUAGAGAGUAUAGAGGAGUGUAGAUUAGUAUAGAGAGUAUAGGGUAGUGUAGGGUAGUAUAGAGAGUAUAGGAUCAGAUAGGGGAGUUGAGGCAGUAUAGGGUAUUAUAGAGUCAUAGAGUAAAAUUAGUAUAGGGAUUAUAAGGUAGUAUAAGGAGUAUAGUGUAGUAUAAGGGAUGGUAAGGUAGUAUAAGGAGUAUAGUGUAGUAUAAGGGAUUGUAAGGUAGUAUAAGGAGUAUAGUGUAGUAUAAGGGAUUGUAAGGUAGUAUAAGGAGUAUAGUGUAGUAUAGUAUAGUGUAUAGUGUAGGGAUUGUAAGGUAGUAUAAGGAGUAUAGUGUAGUAUAAGGGAUUGUAAGGUAGUAUAAGGAGUAUAGUGUAGUAUAAGGGAUUGUAAGGUAGUAUAAGGAGUAUAGUGUAGUAUAGUAUAGUGUAUAGUGUAGGGAUUGUAAGGUAGUAUAAGGAGUAUAGUGUAGUAUAAGGGAUUGUAAGGUAGUAUAAGGAGUAUAGAAUAGUAUAGUAUAAUGGGUUAGUGUAUAUAACGUAGAGCAGGAGAAGACAUAGACCCGGCCGGGAGGAGGGAUACCGGGUCGGGGGGAGGAAGAGGAGAACCUGAGGAGCACCAGGACCUGCUGGAGGGAGUGGCCUCAGAGGGGGACGCCGGGACUUUCUGCUGCCUUUUUAAUGAGAUG